rnacentral:rRNA from 1 species
GACGAACGCUGGCGGCGUGCCUAAUACAUGCAAGUAGAACGCUGAAGAGAGGAGCUUACUCUUCUUGGAUGAGUUGCGAACGGGUGAGUAACGCGUAGGUAACCUGCCUUGUAGCGGGGGAUAACUAUUGGAAACGAUAGCUAAUACCGCAUAACAAUGGAUGACACAUGUCAUUUAUUUGAAAGGGGCAAUUGCUCCACUACAAGAUGGACCUGCGUUGUAUUAGCUAGUAGGUGAGGUAAUGGCUCACCUAGGCGACGAUACAUAGCCGACCUGAGAGGGUGAUCGGCCACACUGGGACUGAGACACGGCCCAGACUCCUACGGGAGGCAGCAGUAGGGAAUCUUCGGCAAUGGGGGCAACCCUGACCGAGCAACGCCGCGUGAGGGAAGAAGGUUGUCGGAUCGUAAAGCUCGGUUGUAAGUCAAGAACGGGUGUGAGAGUGGAAAGUUCACACUGUGACGGUAGCUUACCAGAAAGGGACGGCUAACUACGUG